rnacentral:rRNA from 1 species
UACGAAGGGGGCGAGCGUUGUUCGGAUUUACUGGGCGUAAAGGGCGCGCAGGCGGCUCAUUUUGUCAGGCGUGAAAGCCCCGGGCUUAACCUGGGAACUGCGUUUGAUACGGAUGGGCUAGAGUUCGGGAGAGCAGAGUGGAAUUCCCAGUGUAGAGGUGAAAUUCGUAGAUAUUGGGAAGAACACCGGUGGCGAAGGCGGCUCUCUGGACCGAUACUGACGCUGAGGAGCGAAAGCGUGGGGAGCGAACAGG